AACGAACGCUGGCGGCAGGCUUAACACAUGCAAGUCGAGCGCCCCGCAAGGGGAGCGGCAGACGGGUGAGUAACGCGUGGGAAUCUACCCAUCUCUACGGAAUAACGCAUGGAAACGUGUGCUAAUACCGUAUACGUCCUUCGGGAGAAAGAUUUAUCGGAGAUGGAUGAGCCCGCGUUGGAUUAGCUAGUUGGUGGGGUAAAGGCCUACCAAGGCGACGAUCCAUAGCUGGUCUGAGAGGAUGAUCAGCCACACUGGAACCGAGACACGGCCCAGACUCCUACGGGAGGCAGCAGUGGGGAAUAUUGGACAAUGGGCGCAAGCCUGAUCCAGCCAUGCCGCGUGAGUGAUGAAGGCCCUAGGGUUGUAAAGCUCUUUCACCGGUGAAGAUAAUGACGGUAACCGGAGAAGAAGCCCCGGCUAACUUCGUGCCAGCAGCCGCAGUAAUAC
rnacentral:rRNA from 1 species